AGAGUUUGAUCAUGGCUCAGGACGAACGCUGGCGGCGUGCUUAACACGUGCAAGUCGAACGAGACGAUUGAAAGCUUGCUUUUGAAAGUCGAGUGGCAAACGGGUGAGUAACGUGUAGACAACCUGCCGUAAAGAUGGGGACAACAGUCCGAAAGGACUGCUAAUACCGAAUGUUGUAAAUCUUCCGCAUGGAAGACUUACUAAAGGUGGCCUCUACUUGUAAGCUAUCGCUUUACGAUGGGUCUGCGUCUGAUUAGCUGGUUGGUGGGGUAACGGCCUACCAAGGCGACGAUCAGUAGCCGGUCUGAGAGGAUGAACGGCCACAUUGGAACUGAGACACGGUCCAGACUCCUACGGGAGGCAGCAGUGGGGAAUCUUCCGCAAUGGGCGCAAGCCUGACGGAGCAACGCCGCGUGAGUGAAGAAGGGUUUCGACUCGUAAAGCUCUGUUGUCGGGGACGAACGUGGAGACGGCGAAUAGCCGUUUCCAAUGACGGUACCUGACGAGGAAGCCACGGCUAACUACGUGCCAGCAGCCGCGGUAAUACGUAGGUGGCGAGCGUUGUCCGGAAUUAUUGGGCGUAAAGGGAGCGCAGGCGGGAAGGUAAGUCUAUCUUAAAAGUGCGGGGCUCAACCCCGUGAGGGGAUGGAAACUAUCUUUCUUGAGUGCAGGAGAGGAAAGCGGAAUUCCUAGUGUAGCGGUGAAAUGCGUAGAUAUUAGGAGGAACACCAGUGGCGAAGGCGGCUUUCUGGACUGUAACUGACGCUGAGGCUCGAAAGCGUGGGGAGCGAACAGGAUUAGAUACCCAGGUAGUCCACGCCGUAAACGAUGAAUACUAGGUGUUGGGAAGCAUUGCUUCUCGGUGCCGUCGCAAACGCAGUAAGUAUUCCACCUGGGGAGUACGUUCGCAAGAAUGAAACUCAAAGGAAUUGACGGGGACCCGCGCAAGCGGUGGAGCAUGUGGUUUAAUUCGAAGCAACGCGAAGAACCUUACCAAGUCUUGACAUCCUUCUGACCGGUACUUAACCGUAUCUUCUCUUCGGAGCAGGAGUGACAGGUGGUGCAUGGUUGUCGUCAGCUCGUGUUGUGAGAUGUUGGGUUAAGUCCCGCAACGAGCGCAACCCUUAUCUUUAGUAGCCAGCGGUUUGGCCGGGCACUCUAGAGAGACUGCCAGGGAUAACCUGGAGGAAGGCGGGGAUGACGUCAAAUCAUCAUGCCCCUUAUGACUUGGGCUACACACGUGCUACAAUGGCGUAAACAAAGGGAAGCAAAGCUGUGAAGCCGAGCAAAUCUCAAAAAUAACGUCUCAGUUCGGACUGUAGUCUGCAACCCGACUACACGAAGCUGGAAUCGCUAGUAAUCGCAGAUCAGAAUGCUGCGGUGAAUACGUUCCCGGGUCUUGUACACACCGCCCGUCACACCAUGGGAGUUGGGAAUGCCCGAAGCCAGUGACCUAACCGAAAGGAAGGAGCUGUCGAAGGCAGGCUCGAUAACUGGGGUGAAGUCGUAACAAGGUA
rnacentral:rRNA from 1 species